AAUCCCAAAUAUGACAUCUGCUUGUGCAUUUCAAUCAUUUGGAUCUGUUGUACACCAUUUUGUCUGUGCCCCUACCUAAUUUCAUGUCUUUUUUUUACAUUUUUUU